AAACAACUAAAAAACAAAAAGAAAAAAUUAGGAGAAGUGGUGUUUUAUUUAUGUGUGUCUGGUGUUCCUGUAUACCUUCUUCUUGUAUAUUCACCUACAUUCAUUUAUCCAU
rnacentral:ribozyme from 1 species